GAUGAACGCUGGCGGCGUGCCUAAUACAUGCAAGUAGAACGCUGAAGGAAGGAGCUUGCUCUUUCCGGAUGAGUUGCGAACGGGUGAGUAACGCGUAGGUAACCUGCCUGGUAGCGGGGGAUAACUAUUGGAAACGAUAGCUAAUACCGCAUAACAGUAGAUGUUGCAUGAUAUCUACUUAAAAGGUGCAAUUGCACCACUACCAGAUGGACCUGCGUUGUAUUAGCUAGUUGGUGAGGUAACGGCUCACCAAGGCGACGAUACAUAGCCGACCUGAGAGGGGGAUCGGCCACACUGGGACUGGGACACGGCCCAGACUCCUACGGGAGGCAGCAGUAGGGGAUCUUCGGCAAUGGACGGAAGUCUGACCGGGCAACGCCGCGUGAGUGAAGAAGGUUGUCGGAUCGUAAAGGUCUGUUGUAAGAGAAGAACGGGUGUGAGGGUGGAAAGUUCACACUGUGACGGUAUCUUACCAGAAAGGGACGGCUAACUACGUG
rnacentral:rRNA from 1 species